UUCUAUAUAGUUUUUCUCAUAAAUAAGUUGUUUCAGAAAUAGGAAAACACUUCCAUUUUUAAAUUUCUGCUUAUUCAUCAGAAUACAAUAUCAUAGCUUUUUAAAAUUUGUAACUGUUUGAAAUUUUCCGCAAUGUGGACAUACAAGGAAGUUAUAAGCACCGAGACAGCCAUUAAGAUGUCGCCCACUUGUCAGGGCUGGCCGACUUGGUGCUGGUUUCUUAUAAAGGCAAUUGGUGGGUGUCGUGCUGUGGGACUGGACAAUCAUCAGUUUUUGUGGUUUUCACUCACUAUCUUGACGUUCUUAAUCAUGUUUGUCAUGCAAAUGAUGAAGCGCUACCACAAUAAGGUUCGGGUCGAUAUACUACUUGAACAGGAACUUAAUCAGAAACACUAUGAAGAGAGCAUGGACAAUUUACUUGCAACCAGAAACUUACAGCAGAAUCUCGAGCAAUAUGAUAGCCUAUUCAAUGAUAUGUUUAAUAAGUCGACUUCGUCAAAGUUAAACCUAAAAAAAUCGAAUUCAUUUGGGAGAACACCAAAAAAAACCUAUAAGGAGGCAUCUACCGACUCGUCCUCUCUACAGAGCACUUCCUUUAACAGUCAGUGCACACAAACGGUAACUACAAGCCCGACAAGGCGGACUCGGAUACCAUCACCUUCCCCAACCAGGCAAUAUACUUGGACUCCAACUGAAAGAUCUAAGUUACCCCAUUUAAGUCAGUUUCUUUCAAGUAACAAGACUUCUCCAGUCUGGCGCAAUUGAUUUUAAAAUAAGGUUAGAAGGGUUAGUUGUUUAUAUUUAGCUUCUUCUUUUUUUUGUCUUAUACGGACAGCUUAAAUUUAGUAUUUUAAAAGUUUUUAAUGUACUUAUUAUCAAUGAUCAAGCUAAAUGCAGUUAGAAUGAGAAGGUUUUACACUUAUGUUUAAUUACAGCUAAGUUAUACAAGUAUAUAUGCAUAUACGAACAAGUUUUCAAUUUAAGGUAGACGAUAUUUGCUUAAAAUGAGAUUGCGAAUAGAAAUAUCAAAGAAUAGGUUUAGUAUUCAUAAUUGUUGGGAUAGAUUUUGCUGAAAGAAACUAAAAUAUAAAGAACAGUCAAAGAAGGUCCUCACGAGAAAGGCAUCAAAUGUAGAAUAUGUUUACACACUUUCGGUGAAGUGAAUUAAUUUACUGCAGCUUGAUUGUGAGUCAAUGUAGGCAGAUUAGCUUCCAGUUGGAAGUGAAAGCCACUUCAUGUAUUAGAGUGCUCUUGCCGCACACACACACACGCGCAUAAACCUACAUACAAACGAGCGCUAUCUACCUGUCCACGCAACAGAAUUUCAUUGCAUACUUGCAAGAGUGCGCAGCGAUCCAGUAAAGGUCCCAUGAGGCAGGCCAACACUUUCAUUAUCUUUUAUGUGCACACAUUCUCAUCAGACAUAAGAGUAGUGCAUGGGUGUAUUGAGUGUGAGUCGAGUGUAUUCGAAUGGCGCAGCAGGAAAUUUAUUUGAAUAACCAAAUAAUAGGAACAACUCUGACAUAUCCAUUGAUGAAGCAAGCACUGAACCAGCAGUAGUCAGCAAAAUGGCCAAAAUUGUAACAUAAUGCGAGAGGGCGGACACAUGUGUCUCUGUCUAGUGGCAUCUACACAGAAAGUUGGCACUUCACAUGUACUCAACCUCCUUAUCAAUUCAAGGGCAUACUGGAGCAGCCCAGACUGGCGUCCGGGUGAGAAUAAAUGAGCUGCUCAUCGUAGAUAUAGAUGUGGAUGCUGGUGACACUGCCGAUGAUAGUGCGAAAAUCCGUUUGAUGUUGCCACAGCCGUAAAUGAGUAAUCCUAAUCGGAACGCCAACGCCAAAGCAAACUCAUACUCAAGCCCAAACCCAAUCACCAAACCAAUCGAUGAACGCCAAAGCCAAUGACUUCUUCAAUUGAAUAUAAUUUCACUGCCGGAUUAACAGCUGCCUCCCAAUACGCAAAACGACAAAUCUACAAGCAAAGGGCUUUCGAUUUUAGCGCAAAUCAAAUGUAAAUGGCCCCGAGUGAAGCUAAUCUCUUCGGUUGUUCAUGAGUGUCCCAAUGCCAUAAAAUGUGAACACAGAAAAACAAUAAAAGUUUCGUCUACUAAAAACAAGGGCUACAAAAUCCAAACAAAAAUAUCAACAACCGGGAACCAAACAUGUAGUAGGUGUGCCAUGUGGUGAAAAACGUAAUGUUUUUUUCCAAAAACCCAUAUUUACAGCCAAUAAGCUUCUAUGGAAGCUCUAAGUUCCUGAAUGUCGUAGAGAUCGUAAUUAUUGAUGUUUGACCGAGUGGGUCAACAAUUUACGUGAUACUUAUAUGAUUGCAGUGUUGGGAAAAUUUGGCAGAUUCUUAAAAGAAUAGAAAGGUCACUGAUAAUUAAACAUGUACACUAAGCUUUAAACAAUAAAAUAAAAUGCUCUAUUCAAGAGUAUUCAACUUCUUUGUAUCUGCUAAAGAUAAUCCCUGCUCCAUCAAAGUAUCGUUUAAGCUACAAAAUUACCUUACUAUAACAUAUCCUGAUCAACAAGAAAGGAAAUAAGAAUGUGAAUCCGAAAUGACUUUUAUUUUGGAGAUAAUUGCUAUACCGAACCGUUGGGCGUGGCAUUGGCUUGAACCCUGAAUCGAAUCCCAAAAACGUAUUUUGGUUUUUCAGAUAUGAUCAAAAAACUCUGCAAGCACUCAACACUCGUACACAUGUAUUCAAACUGAUCCUGGAUGGGAGCGACGAUAGAGAUGCGAAUAUGUUUGCUACAAGUAAUUACAAAAGCUGCAACUGGCAGACAGGACAAUUCUGCAGACGCCGAUGUUUAUCCCUGAUAAGUCCUGCACACUGCGGUUUGGCUCUAAGCUAUGCCAAAUUGGUAACAACAAUAAAUAAGCAAAUAAAUGGCCAAGGCUGCUGGCAGAAACAGUUUGCUGAUACCAUUCACCGCCACAUUUAAUGGCCAGCUUUGCAGGGGAUUGUGUUGUGAAAAGCGCCUGACGUGUGCCACGUGGCGUAUGUGCAAUCUUUAACAAGAGAAAACCCAAAAUCAUGAAAAUGCUUAACAAAAAAAAACUUUCACUUUCACCAAUAAGAAGAAUUAAAUAAUGUGGUUCAUGAUACUACAGCUGCAAAUAUAGUUAUCGAAUUUUGAAUCAUAGCAUCAUUUAAAACGAAACUGGGCUUUGCAAUCUUCCUUGAGUUGCUGUCUGACUACGAAGGGGCUUUGCUAAUAGCAUCGAAAAUUGUUUAAAGAGUAUUGAAUAGUGUGCGCAAUAAAAUAUCACAACUGUUUA